CUACUCUGGGUUCGAAUUUUAAAUUCUCGAGCAAUUUUGUAAGUUAUGCAUACUUAGUAAGUUCUAGUUCUCUUCUUCGGAGAACGGGGUGUUGCAGUUGAUUGAUUCUUGUAGUCCGACUUAAUUCAAUUGCUUCUUGCACUGUAGUUAUUGAAUUCGCGGGGGGAUUCUGAAUUCUUGAUUGCUCCGGGUCCGAAUUGUUAUGACAGUUUUCUUAGGUGGUAAGCUUUGCUUAAUUGAAUAUUAGGCAUGGUGGAUGCUCACAAUGAAAUCAUGUCUUGUAUUCCUGUGCUCUAAGACCUAAAUUUGAAACUGAUCGUGUAUUGUUAGGCUGAUGCUGGAGGUUCACCCUCACUUGUUGCUCGAGGAUUCAGCACUGUUCAGGCUGCUAGUGGUGGUGAGCAACUUGAAAUUCAAGUUCCAGUUGAAAGGGUCAUAAACAAUGGGUAGCAGAAGUUUUUUGAAACGUAGUGCAGUACGGGAAUUAGCAGUUUUCUGUUACAAAGACUUAAAUCGCUACUGUAUUUGUUUUGGUCAGGUGGAAAUCAAUGAAGCUUGGAAAGUUAAAAGUGCUCCAUUGAUAUUGAUUGAGUUUGAGCAUAUUUUGAGUCUCAUCUUUUUUUUUAAUGCGAUGCGGUUGCUGCUUGAUUGCUUUAUGGUAGUUCUCAAUCGAAAAUUUUCUCAUUUUGUUAAUUGUUUGGAAGAUAUGGAUGAGUGAGUGAUUUAUUGCCCAUUGGUUGAAUUGGAUGGUUGUGUGACUAGCUUGUUUAGUGUCUUCCUUGAUGUGAGGGGAAUUGUGAUUAUGAGGAUUACUCAGCUUGCCGUCUAAUUUGUAGAAAUUUGUACAUGGUUUUGUGUUCACUGCCUUUUUUGUUUGUAUCUCUAGUUUGUGGAUAAUGAAGUAGAAAAUGAGCUGUAAUGAUGACGAAAAUGGGCUUUUAGUUUGGUUGAUGCAUUUGGUUUUUGUUGUGAUUUAAGACGUUUCGAGCACUGCUUGCAUUUAACAUAAUGAUGCAAUAUUGUGAUAGGGAUACACACAUAAGUUUGAGAUGGCAUAGACAUGUUUUGGAGAGAUGGGGAGCCAUUUAGGAUAAUUGGAGGAGACUUGCAUUAUUUCCGAGUGCAUCUUGAGGUUUGUGGUGGAUUAAAUGUGUCGUACGUUGAGCUGAAGAGGCUUGUGAAUUCACAAGAAAAGUUGUACCAUAUGGCUAGCUAGUUGCAUAUUUAAUAUGUUUAGUAUUUUUGUAAGGCAUAAUAGUAUAGAUAGAGCAGUUGUUGAAUUUUGACUAUAUUCAAAUCUUGUAUGAAUUCUUUUUAUGAUAAUAAUAUAAAAUUAAAUA